AUACGGAGGAUGCGAGCGUUAUCCGGAUUUAUUGGGUUUAAAGGGAGCGUAGGUGGGAUAUUAAGUCAGCUGUGAAAGUUUGGGGCUCAACCUUAAAAUUGCAGUUGAUACUGGUUUCCUUGAGUACGGUACAGGUGGGCGGAAUUCGUGGUGUAGCGGUGAAAUGCUUAGAUAUCACGAAGAACUCCGAUCGCGAAGGCAGCUCACCGGGCCGGAACUGACACUGAUGCUCGAAAGUGCGGGUAUCGAACAGGAUUAGAUACCCUGGUAGUCCGCACAGUAAACGAUGAAUACUCGCUGUUUGCGAUACACGGUAAGCGGCCAAGCGAAAGCGUUAAGUAUUCCACCUGGGGAGUACGCCGGCAACGGUGAAACUCAAAUGAAUUGACGGGG
rnacentral:rRNA from 1 species